UACGUAGGGUGCGAGCGUUGUCCGGAAUUACUGGGCGUAAAGAGCUCGUAGGUAGUUUGUCGCGUUGUCCGUGAAAACUCACAAUUCAAUUGUGGGCGUGCGGGCGAUACGGGCAGACUGGAGUACUGCAGGGGAGACUGGAAUUCCUGGUGUAGCGGUGGAAUGCGCAGAUAUCAGGAGGAACACCGGUGGCGAAGGCGGGGUCUCUGGGGCAGUAACUGACGCUGAGGAGCGAAAGCGUGGGGAGCGAACAGG
rnacentral:rRNA from 1 species